UCCCUGGUAGUCUAGUGGUUAAGAAUCUGCCUUGCAAUGCAGGGGACACAGGUUCCAUCCCUGUCCAGGAAA
rnacentral:tRNA from 1 species